GUGGGAAACAAGUGCAUCAUGAGAGUGCUAGGCUGUUCCCCUGGGUGGAGCUGUCUGAUCCUGAUAAAGGGAGUUUCCACACAGUAUUAGCUUCGUGAUACUCAGUCAUAGGUCUUCUUUGGAGCCUCUGAUUCCUUGAGACCCAGGAAGGAUGUCUCACCACCAUCACCCACAUCCGCAUCAGCAUCAGCAGCAUCACCAUCAGGUCAAGGAGCCCUGCCAUCCUCCUCCAAAAGUGUGCCCACAGAAGUCCCAUGAGCCUUGCCCACCGCAUCCAUGCCCACCUCCAGUGAACCAGCAGAAAUGCCCUCCUGGGCCACCAUGCCCACCAUGGGAGCAGAAGUGUCCACCCAAGUGGAAGUAACAGCACCAAGAUCCAGGCUCUUCCCUUCCAUGUCCUCCCUUUGGCCAUGGUGAUGAUUGCAUCUUCCUUAAUCUCCCUCCUGCACUGACAGGCAACAGAGAAAAGGCUUGGUUCCUGAAGCUGACACCACGUGCUUGGAAGAAGAGCAGCAGGAUCAUUGCCUGAUAUCUCUUUGCUAUGUGCUUGUCUGCCAGGUGUGAUCUCUACCCUGUGAGCACCUGGUGUGUCUAUUCCUUUGCUUCUCCAAUAAAGCACAUUCAUACUUGAA